rnacentral:misc_RNA from 1 species
UUUGCCCCUUAAACUGCAGUCCAGGAACCUAGUAUUAACAGAGUACAUAAGAACUAGAACUCUAAACUAAUUUGACUAGAGGUCAUUAUGUGGUAAGUUAAGGAGAUGCAGGGUGAUUAACCUACCCACUCUAAUAUCUAUUGUAGAGGAGUUUUCACCAUUGGUCUCCACUAUCCACCGACAGUGAACCUGAUGCACAGCAGAAAUAUAAUUACAUUAUAGUGUAAAGAACAAUAUCACAGGAGAAAUAUCAACUAAUAAGUUUCUCUUCCAAGUGUAUCAAUCAAUAAAUUCUCUCAUCAAUUAGAACUCUGUUCUGAUAAAAGUAAGGAAUUAUUUG